GAUGGGUUAGUGGAGUGCCCGAGCACAUUAUGACUUUUUUUUCUGUACAGUUUGAUCUAUUUAAGAUCAACUAUAACACGCAGAACGAAAAGUGGAAAAUGAGUGGAGUUAAUCGUUAUGUGCAUCAAAGAAGAAGAAAGGCUUAAGAUUGAAAAAAAACUUAGUGUUGCUCAUUUGACUACCACUUACUUCCAUAAGAAAAACGCUCAUAAAAAAUGGCAAAGGUUUUUAAGAAUAAAGAUAAGUCAAUUUCUACCAAAAUAAAUAAGGUAAAUUGAAUCCUUUCUAAUUGAUGUUUCUUGUAAUACAUAGCUUGACACUGGUGCUAUAGUUCAUAUUACUAAUUCAUUGUAGAGAUUCCUUUCAAAGAAGACACUCCAAAAGGGGGAAAGAACCAUUAAAGUUGGCAAUGG
rnacentral:lncRNA from 1 species